GAGAAGUUGCUGUGGUAACACAGAAGUUCUAGAUGAAGAACCAAGUCAGGAAGAAACAUGGUAGGGAUACUGAGGAAAAUUCAGGCCACCAAUCUGUAGAGAAUACAUCAAUGAAUCCUCUUGCCUUCUGGGUUCUACUCAAGAGGAGAUGCUACGAAGCUCAGAAGGAAGAAGUAGAAGGUCAAGGGACAUCUAGGUUGUUUCCAGUUGCUGACUAUUAUGAAUAAAGCUGCAAUCAACAUGGCUGAGAGAGAGGAAGAGAAAGGAGAAGGGAAAGGGGAAGAGAUGUGGAGAAUAAGGUCAAAAUCUAAAUACUUGCAUGAAAAUGCCCUGAUGAAACUCAGUACUAUGUACAGUAAAUAUAAACCAAUUAAAAUGAUUUUCAAGUU